AUGGCAAUGUUUUGGUUCAGACAACUCAUUGAGAACGUCGGUGCAAAAGAAAGUGUGGCGGGAGCGUGCAAAAGAUGGUGGGGUGAUCCCGGUUACCGGGUUCCCACGAGUCAACGAUGGCAUGGCAAUGAGGAGGAACCGCUAACAUACACGGCGUUCUUCGGUCAUAGGUACUUGACGUUCUUAGCGGUUCCGAAGAGGGUGGUAGAUGAACAUGACGCGUCGUCGUGGUACUUGUUGGUCUUAAGGGUCGACGAUAGAUGCAUCUUGGCGGUCUCGUCUUGGUCUUCAAUCCAAAACGAAGCAAGGCAAAAGACUCGGGGCGGUGGUACUUGGCGGUCCACAGCAAAGAGGAACCUUGAAGGGGUGGCUCGAGGAAGAACACUGCAGCGAGGCGGCGAGGCCAGGGGAGGCGCAUCGGCGAAGCAGGGACUCGCGAGCAGAGGAGCAAGUCGUGGCGCUGGUGCAAGGUGGCGACGAGACGAGGUGGUCGCCGGUGGCUACGAGCUGAAGAGCGAUGUGGACAAGGUGGCACAGGGUCGGGCAAUGUGA
rnacentral:rRNA from 1 species